AUGUUUGCCGUGAACCAGAGACUGCUAUGGCAGUUCGCCGCCGCCGCUGCUGCCGCGCUCCGGCCUCCCGUUGCCAUCUGUCGGGCCCAAUCUCCGGCGGCCAGAGCCAUCAAGAAGCGCAAGAAGCGUCAUGACGGCGCGUUCUGGGCCGGCGUCGAGUCGACGUCGCCGUCUGCAGGGGCCGCUAUGGGCGUCGAUUCGCUGGACGAGAUCAUAGUCGUCGACCGCAUGCUGCGAGUGGAGGAGGAUCUUGGCCGCGGGGAGAGGUUUCUGGCCGCGGACCAGGGCCCGCCUCCGUGCUCCGCUGACGCGGCGCUCCGGCCUUCCGUUGCCAUCCGUCGAGCGCGAUCCCCCGCGCUCGGAGCCAACAAGAAGCGCAAGAAGCAUCAGGAGCGCGAGUUCUGGGCCGCCUUGGGCGUCAAUUCGCUGGAUGAGGUCACCGUCGUGGACCGCAGGGUGCGAGCGGAGGAGGAUCUUGGCCGCAGGGGGAGGCCGCUGGGCGCGACCAGAGCAAUCAAGAAGCGUGAGGACGGUGUGUUCUGGGCCGGCAUGGAGUCGACGUCGUGGUCGGCGGCAGGGCCCGCCCCGGGCGUUGACUCGCUGGACGAGAUCGCCGCCGUGGACGGCAAGCUGCGGGACGUCCUGCGUGGCCUAGGCGCGUCUGUCCCCGUGCGCAUCUACGGGAAGCGACUGUCGAAGUCGGACCGGGUGAUCAACCAGCACCGGCUGCUCAUGCCGUGCCGCAGCUGGCGGCACGGCGAGCCGCUCCCUUUCGACGAGGUGCUGACGGCGGAGGAGAAGCCGUCCGUGCAGGUGCAGGCCUACGACCGCGUGGGCCGGCCCUACGUGCUCGACUGCAAGAAGCUGGAGUGCAACAAGUCCUACCGCCUCAUUGCCGGCUGGAGGAGGUUCCUGACCGAGAACGGCCUCGCCGUGUCGGACGACGCCAGGGCCGAGGACCUGGAGCCGGCCAUGGUGGAGCUGUGGGCGUUCCGCUCGCCGGCGCUCACGAUGGGCGUGGCCGGUCAGCCGCGCGGCGCGCUCGGGCUCGUCAUCGUGCACUACCGCCAGGGGGACGCCCCGCACGCCGACGCCGCCAUCGCGGAGGUCCCGGCAGCGGCCAGGAACAGAGCGGCGAUGCCAUUGCCGGUCGUGGUGCCCGUCCUGGAGCACGCCGUUGGUGCCCCACGUGAGGACGCCAUGGAGGAGGCUGAUGAUGGUGGUGCCCGCCCUGGAGGAUGGCCGGACGCGAGGACGCUGGAGGCCGCAGAGGCGUUGCUGAUGCUGAGUGAGCGUUGA
rnacentral:rRNA from 1 species